rnacentral:lncRNA from 1 species
CUACCUGCUGUGUUGCAAACGCUGAGUCAGAGAGCAGACAUUAGAUUAAUCCUCAACACGAUUUUGUGUGUGUGCUUCAGUGGGGCUGGUGUUGCCUGAAACCUCACAUGUGCCUGAGGGGCUUCAGAGCCCUUGACUACCUUUCUGAUCACCUCUGCUCCCAAAGAGAGCUCAAGGACAUGGGGCCUCUGCUUGAAAGAUAGAUUAGUAGUAACUGGAGAGUCAGAAAUAUAGAGUUCAGGGGCCACCUUUAAUUAUUUUUCUAGAGGUCAUAUACUGAGAGCAAAACUUCUGAUUUAACACAUGUAGACAGGGUCCAAGAAUGGGCUUGUCAUGAACUCCUGGGUGAUGCUCAGGUUCUAAAGACAGAGAAUGAGAACUUUAUCUGUCAAAGUCAUUCCUUCUUAACCGUAGGAAGAAGCUUAACCAUAGUAAGUACAUUCAAAAGGUUUCUCUCCAGUACAUACUCUUUUGUUGUGUUUUGGUUUUUCAAGACAGGGUUUCUCUCUAUAGCACAGGCUGUCCUGGAACUCACUUUGUAGACCAGGCUGGCCGAGAACUCAGAGGUCCUCCUGCAUCUUCCUCCCAAGUGCUGGGAUUAAAGGAAUGCACCACCACUGUCUGGCUCCAGUACAUAUUCUUUCAUGAUGAUGAAGCCUACAGAAUUGUGCAAAGGCUUCACCAUAUUAAAUACAUUCCCAAGGUUUCUGUCUUAGUGUUUCCAUUGCUAGGAAUAGACAUCAUGACCAAGGCAACUCUCAUAAAAGCAAACCUUUAAUUGGGGCUGGCUUACAGUUUCAGAGGUUUAGUCCAUUUUCAUCAUAGCAGGAAGCACAGCAGCAGCAUGCAGGCAGACAUGAUGCUGGAGAAGGAGCUGAGAGUUCUGCAUUUUGAUCCAAAGGCAGCCAGGAAGAAACUGUCUUCCAGGGAGGGAAUAGGAGGGUCUGUUUUGCACUUGGUGGAGCUUCAGAGUCCACCCCCAGAGAUAUCCACUUCCUCCAACAAGGUCACACCUCUGAAUAGAGUCACUCCCUGUCACAAGCAUAUUCAAACUCCCACAUUCCACUCACUGGCCCCCAUAAGCAUGUUGGAGUACAGGAAUGUAUGAGGACCAUACUUAAACAUGCAUAAUGAAAAAUACACGAGGUCCUACUGCAAAAGUCCCCAUCAUCUAUACCAGUCUCAAAAAUGUUAAAAGUCCAAAGGUCAAAGUCUCUUCUGAGAUUCAUUCAAUGUAACUGUAAUCCCCUAAAAAAGAAAAUCUAAAAGCAGAUCAUAUACUACCACUUCAAAACAUAGACUUUACCAUUCCUAAAUGUCAUCAUGAGGAAAUAGUGGACCAAAACAAAACCAAAAGCCAGCUUGGAAAUCUCCAAACUGCAUCUCCAUGAGUGAUGUUAAAGCAUUCUUCAGAUCUCCAACUCCUUUCUGCUGUAUUCACUGCAGCACAAUUCUUUCUCUUUGGCUGGUUUUCCUGAGCAGGUACCCCACAGCUCUGACAUCUCAAAGAUCUUGGGGUCUCGAAGGAAACCUCAGUUUCUUGUUCCAAUGUCUUGGAUCCACACAUGAUCUUCUGCAGUCCUCCAGAGAGAUAAGGUCACUUCUCUAGCUCUGACCUCUGUAUCACUCUAAGCUCUGGUUGACUCCGCUCUACUGGGCUGUUCUUUCUGCUCAUCCCAUUGGACUGGCAUCUUCAAUAUGUUGGGUUCUUCUCCUGCAACUAGGCUUCACUGAUAGUCUCACUUAUGCUCCCUUCACUGGACCAAGCCUCAGUUGCUCCUCAUGACACUGUCAUGCCUUCAAAACCAGUACCACCUGGAUGAUUCUUACAUGUGACCAAGUUCUGUUGUGUCCGGCCAGCAGACCACAACCUGGGUUCUAGCCUGGAAAGGCAUUUUGGAAACCUAGAAGAGAAGAGGGGCUAGGUGGCGAGAGAGAAAGAAAUGUAGCCAAGACAGUUAUUCUGAUCAAAGCUCAAAUUUUAUUGUUGCAACACUAGUUAUGAAGGAAGGGGGAGGAGACCCGAUUCCCGCCGAAUAAUCUCUGGUCCAGUAGAAAGGUGAGCACACAUGUUGCUCUGCAGGUUCCAGCAGUGGGCGUGGCAGAACGAAUGAGCAGGAAGCUCCACCCCUGAGCAAGCAGGUUUCAGGCUGGGGGAGGGGAGACUACAAAGUUCAGCUGCAACACAAGGUACAAUCCUGGCUCUCUCUGGAACACAGUUUCUUUGUCCUCUCAGAAAACAGUUCCUAGAAGAUUUCACCUCAAUGAUGCUGGUCUCUUCUUCAUCACUUCUAAUUUCUCAGCCACAGCUUACAAGCUUCAAUUUUCCCAGUAGUCCCUUCUAUUCUUACCUCUAAAGUCAGAGCCACAUGGUCAAAGCUGCUGAGUUCUGCUGCUUUCUGGGCCUGGGAAAUGGCCUCUUCUAUUACAUUAUCACCAGUUUUCUGUUCUCCAACUCCUUUACUUCCUCAGCUUGGCUGUCCUUGAACUUGCUCUAUAUAUUGACCUUGAACUCAGAAAUCUGCAAGGCUCUGUAUCCACAGGCCUAGACCUAAGAAUUUCUUCACCUUUAACUUGCUCUGUAUCAGGAUGGACUUGAACUCAGAGAUCUGCUUGAUGCUCAUCUCCUAGGGUUCAAGGGCAUGUACCACCAUGCCUGGACCUAUGCUUUCCACUUUAGAUCUUAUAUUGAAAACCAAGAGCAGCAAUCACAAUCCAUCCCUUGUCAAUUUGAUACAUACUUGUAUCUCCUUAUGUCCAUAUGUAAACAAUAACCAGGUUUCUCUCCUCUGUGUUCUUUUAUGUCAUUGUAGAUGACUGUGAGUUGCAAAGGCUUUACCACAUUGAUUACAUUCAUAAGGUUUCUGUCCAGUAUAUGUUCUUUUAUGUCUUUGGAGAUUAGUCUUACAUCCAAAGUCUUUACAACAGUGAUUGCAUUCUAAGGUGUUUUUCUAAAAUGUGUUCUUUCAUGUACUUGGAGAUGACUGUGUCUUGCAAAUGCUUUACCACAUUGAUUGCAUUCAUAAGGUUUCUCUCCAGUAUGUGUUCUUUUAUGACACUGUAGAUUAUUUUGAUGUGUAAAUGCUUUACCACACUGAUCACACUGAUAAGGUUUCUCUCCAGUAUGCGUUCUUUUAUGACAUUGGAGACUAUUGUGAUGUACAAAGGCUUUACCACAUUGAUUACACUCAUGAGGUUUUUCUCCAGAAUGUGUUCUUUUAUGUAUAUUGAGACUAGACUGCCAUGCAAAGGCUUUACCACAUUGAUCACACUCAUAAGGUUUCUCUCCAGUAUGUGUUAUUUUAUGAUAUUCAAGACUACUGUGUUGUGAAAAUGCUUUAUCACAUUGAUUACAUUGAUAAGGUUUCUCUCCAGUAUGUGUUCUUUUAUGAUAUUGCAGACUACUGUGAUGUCCAUAGGCUUUACCACACUGAUUACAUUUAUAGGGUUUCUCUCCAUUAUGUCUUCUAAUAUGAUAUUGGAGAGUACUCCCUUGUGAAAAGGCUUUACCACAUUGAUUACAUUCAUAAGGUUUCUCUCCAGUAUUUGUUCUUUUAUGUAUUUGGAGAUGAUUGUCACUUGCAAAGGCUUUACCACAUUGGUUACGUUCAUACGGUUUCUCUCCAAUAUGAAUUCUUUCAUGC